UUCUUAUCAAGAGAGACGGAGGGAGAGGCCCUUAGAUGUCUCAGCAACCAGUCUAAGUGAGACAUGGUGCUAAUUCCUUUAGGCGGAUGCUGCCUGACAGAUAAGAA
rnacentral:ncRNA from 1 species